rnacentral:rRNA from 1 species
UACAGGGGGGGCAAGCGUUGUUCGGAAUUACUGGGCGUAAAGGGUUCGUAGGUGGCCAACUAAGUCAGACGUGAAAUCCCUCAGCUUAACUGGGGAACUGCGUCUGAUACCGGAUGGCUUGAGUGUAGGAGAGGAAUGCGGAAUUCCAGGUGUAGCGGUGAAAUGCGUAGAUAUCUGGAGGAACACCGGUGGCGAAGGCGGCAUUCUGGACUACAACUGACACUGAGGAACGAAAGCCAGGGGAGCAAACGGG